rnacentral:rRNA from 1 species
AACGAACGCUGGCGGCAGGCUUAACACAUGCAAGUCGAACGCCCCGCAAGGGGAGUGGCAGACGGGUGAGUAACGCGUGGGAACGUGCCCUUCGCUUCGGAAUAGCCCCGGGAAACUGGGAGUAAUACCGGAUACGCCGUAUUGGGAAAGAUUUAUCGGCGAAGGAUCGGCCCGCGUUGGAUUAGCUAGUUGGAGGUAUAAUGGACCCCCAAGGCUACGAUCCAUAGCUGGUCUGAGAGGAUGAUCAGCCACACUGGGACUGAGACACGGCCCAGACUCCUACGGGAGGCAGCAGUGGGGAAUCUUGGACAAUGGGCGCAAGCCUGAUCCAGCCAUGCCGCGUGAGUGAAGAAGGCCUUAGGGUUGUAAAACUCUUCCGCCGGAGAAGAUAAUGACGGUAUCCGGAGAAGAAGCCCCGGCUAACUUCGUGCCAGCCGCCGCCGUAAUAC